UACGUAGGGUCCGAGCGUUGUCCGGAUUUAUUGGGCGUAAAGAGCUCGUAGGCGGUUCCGUAAGUCAGAUGUGAAAACUCAGGGCUCAACCCGGAGACGCCAUCUGAUACUGCGGUGACUGGAGUCUGGUAGGGGAACACGGAAUUCCUGGUGUAGCGGUGAAAUGCGCAGAUAUCAGGAGGAACACCAAUAGCGAAGGCAGCUCGCUGGGACGUUACUGACACUGAGGCGCGAAAGCGUGGGGAGCGAACAGG
rnacentral:rRNA from 1 species